rnacentral:rRNA from 1 species
CGAUGCAUCAUUCAAAUAUCUGCCCUAUCAACUUUCGAUGGUAGGAUAGUGGCCUACCAUGGUUUUAACGGGUAACGGGAAUAAGGGUUCGAUUCCGGAGAGGGAGCCUGAGAAACGGCUACCACAUCCAAGGAAGGCAGCAGGCGCGCAAAUUACCCAAUCCCAAUUCGGGGAGGUAGUGACAAUAAAUAACAAUAUAGGGCUCUUUUGGGUCUUAUAAUUGGAAUGAGUACAAUUUAAAUCACUUAACGAGGAACAAUUGGAGGGCAAGUCUGGUGCCAGCAGCCGCGGUAAUUCCAGCUCCAAUAGCGUAUAUUAAAGUUGUUGCAGUUAAAAAGCUCGUAGUUGAAAUUUGGGCCUGGACGGGCGGUCCGCCGCAAGGCGUUGUACUGUCUGGCUGGGUCUUUCCUCUUGGUGAAUCGGCGUGUCCUUCACUGGGUGCGUCGGGGAACCAGGACAUUUACCUUGAGAAAAUCAGAGUGUCCAAAGCAGGCAGUUUUGCCCAAAUACAUUAGCAUGGAAUAAUGAAA